AACGAACGCUGGCGGCAGGCUUAACACAUGCAAGUCGAACGCCCCGCAAGGGGAGUGGCAGACGGGUGAGUAACGCGUGGGAAUCUACCCAGAACUUCGGAACAACUGAGGGAAACUUCAGCUAAUACCGGAUACGCCCUACGGGGGAAAGAUUUAUCGGUUUUGGAUGAGCCCGCGUUGGAUUAGCUAGUUGGUGAGGUAAUGGCUCACCAAGGCGACGAUCCAUAGCUGGUCUGAGAGGAUGAUCAGCCACACUGGGACUGAGACACGGCCCAGACUCCUACGGGAGGCAGCAGUGGGGAAUAUUGGACAAUGGGCGAAAGCCUGAUCCAGCCAUGCCGCGUGAGUGAUGAAGGCCUUAGGGUUGUAAAGCUCUUUCAGUGGGGAAGAUAAUGACGGUACCCACAGAAGAAGCCCCGGCUAACUUCGUGCCAGCCGCCGCCGUAA
rnacentral:rRNA from 1 species